AAGUCGUAACAAGGUUUCCGUAGGUGAACCUGCGGAAGGAUCAUUAACACGUAUCCAAACGUAAAAAACCCCCCCCCGUGAACAUUCAAUCCUGCUCUUGUAACCGCGUAGUUCGCAAUCUCUGGUACCGUACACUCGGGCAGGAGCUAUGCCAAAGGGUCCCCAUGCCCCCUUAUAACCCCACAGUUUAAUGUGAAGCUCAAUGUAAUACAUUGGGUAAAAAAAACCGAACAACUGUUAACAAUGGAUAUCUUGGUUCUC
rnacentral:misc_RNA from 1 species